GUUUCCUGUCCCGGAGGCGGGGGUGCAGCGGGUGGGAGGCUCUGGCUGUUUGUUUAGGCAGACUAAGAGGAGUUACCCGAGGGCAGGGAUCAUGUCAUAUUCAUCCAUGAAUUCCCACCCCUGAGCCCAAGCCUGGCACCAGCGAUACUCCAGUGAAUGAGCCCAUUCAGUGAUCACGCAAAGUGUGGGGCGAGCUCCACCCCCUGAGGAUCCACACCAGACUCUAGGUAAAGCAGUGCCUUCCAUGUGUCUGGUCAAAGGACUUUCAGAAGGAUUCCUUCCCUCUCAUCAACACAUCGUGGCCUGUCCUUGCCAAAGCAGCUCAAGGAGUCUUCGCCCUGGGACC